GACGAACGCUGGCGGCGUGCUUAACACAUGCAAGUCGAACGGUGAAGCCCUUCGGGGUGGAUCAGUGGCGAACGGGUGAGUAACACGUGAGCAACCUGCCCCUGGCUCUGGGACAACCACUGGAAACGGUGGCUAAUACCGGAUACGACCCGCCUCGGCAUCGAGUGUGGGUGGAAAGUUUUUCGGCUGGGGAUGGGCUCGCGGCCUAUCAGCUUGUUGGUGAGGUGAAGGCUCACCAAGGCGCCGCCGGGUAGCCGGCCUGAGAGGGGGACCGGGCACACUGGGACUGAGACACGGCCCAGACGCCUACGGGAGGCAGCAGUGGGGAAUAUUGCACAAUGGGCGAAAGCCUGAUGCAGCGACGCCGCGUGAGGGAUGACGGCCUUCGGGUGGUAAACCUCUUUCAGCUCCGAAGAAGCGAAAGUGACGGUAGGAGCAGAAGAAGCACCGGCUAACUACGUG
rnacentral:rRNA from 1 species